UCCUUUCUUACACCCCUAGGCAUUUAAAACUCUUUGUCCUAAUCUAAUGAGAACUCUCAAACUUCAAGUCUCACUUGGAGAUUAGGUUUAAUUAAUUUGAAUCAAAUUUAAACUCCUUAUGCCAUAAGGAAAACCCAAACCAUGUACGAAUGGCAUCAACACUUGGCACCAUUUAAUAGCUUACACCCAAGGGGAUUGGGCAUCCAACAUUAGGCACCAAAUCUGCCCAUUUGGUCAUCCAUAAUGAGAGAU
rnacentral:lncRNA from 1 species